ensembl:rRNA 5S_rRNA 5S ribosomal RNA
AUCCACAGCCAUACCACCCUGAACAUACCCAAUCUUGUCUGACCUCAGAAGCUAAGCAGGGUUGGACCUGAUUAGUACUUGGGUGGGAGAUAUCUAAGCAGAGAUGUGUGAAAUCUGGAUA